rnacentral:rRNA from 1 species
UGAGACAGCCACACUGUCCUGCGUGUGCCUGAUCCCAUCUGAUCUUGGAAGCUAAGCAGGGCCGGGCCUGGUUAGUACUUGGAUGGAAGACCUCCUUGGAAGACCAGGGGCCAUUAGAA